GCAGAAAGCAAGCUGACUUCAUCUUCUAUGAGACAUCCCAGCAGACAUUUAAAUAUUGGUAUCAUGUCAGAGUCAUGCAGUUUGAAAACAUGCAAAUAAAAAGAAAUGGAAAAAUAAAUAAUAAUUGAUGAUGAUGACAACGAUGAUGAAGAAGUGAUGUUAAU
rnacentral:lncRNA from 11 species